rnacentral:rRNA from 1 species
UACGUAGGGUGCAAGCGUUGUCCGGAAUUAUUGGGCGUAAAGAGCUCGUAGGCGGUCUGUCGCGUCUGCUGUGAAAACUCAGGGCUUAACCCUGAGCUUGCAGUGGGUACGGGCAGACUAGAGUGCGGUAGGGGAGACUGGAAUUCCUGGUGUAGCGGUGAAAUGCGCAGAUAUCAGGAGGAACACCGGUGGCGAAGGCGGGUCUCUGGGCCGUAACUGACGCUGGAGGA